rnacentral:rRNA from 1 species
CUACGGGUGGCUCCAGUGGGGAAUAUUGCACAAUGGAGGAAACUCUGAUGCAGCAACGCCGCGUGGAGGAUGACACUUUUCGGAGCGUAAACUCCUUUUAUAUAGGAAGAUAAUGACGGUACUAUAUGAAUAAGCACCGGCUAACUCCGUGCCAGCAGCCGCGGUAAUACGGAGGGUGCAAGCGUUACUCGGAAUCACUGGGCGUAAAGAGCGUGUAGGCGGAUUAAUAAGUCAGAUGUGAAAGCCAAUGGCUCAACCAUUGAACUGCAUUUGAAACUGUUAAUCUAGAAUAUGGGAGAGGUAGAUGGAAUUUCUGGUGUAGGGGUAAAAUCCGUAGAGAUCAGAAGGAAUACCGAUUGCGAAGGCGAUCUACUGGAACAUUAUUGACGCUGAGACGCGAAAGCGUGGGGAGCAAACAGGAUUAGAUACCCCCGUAGUC